rnacentral:SRP_RNA from 1 species
GGCGGAAACCAUGCGACCAGCUCCCUCCGAACUCCCCCAGGGCAGAAAUGCAGCAAGGGUAAGAGGUUGUAGCGGUGUGAUAUGGUUUCCUUUUUU